AAAUUGAAGAGUUUGAUCAUGGCUCAGAUUGAACGCUGGCGGCAGGCCUAACACAUGCAAGUCGAACGGUAACAGGAAGCAGCUUGCUGCUUUGCUGACGAGUGGCGGACGGGUGAGUAAUGUCUGGGAAACUGCCUGAUGGAGGGGGAUAACUACUGGAAACGGUGGCUAAUACCGCAUAACGUCGCAAGACCAAAAAGGGGGACCUUCGGGCCUCUUGCCAUCAGAUGUGCCCAGAUGGGAUUAGCUUGUUGGUGAGGUAACGGCUCACCAAGGCGACGAUCCCUAGCUGGUCUGAGAGGAUGACCAGCCACACUGGAACUGAGACACGGUCCAGACUCCUACGGGAGGCAGCAGUGGGGAAUAUUGCACAAUGGGCGCAAGCCUGAUGCAGCCAUGCCGCGUGUAUGAAGAAGGCCUUCGGGUUGUAAAGUACUUUCAGCGGGGAGGAAGGUGUUGUGGUUAAUAACC
rnacentral:rRNA from 3 species